rnacentral:rRNA from 1 species
UACAUGGGGUGCAAACGUUGCUCGGAUUUACUGGGCGUAAAGGGCGCGUAGGCGGCCAGCGCAAGUCAGUUGUGAAAUCUCCGGGCUUAACUCGGAAAGGUCAACUGAUACUGUGCGACUAGAGUGCAGAAGGGGCAACUGGAAUUCUCGGUGUAGCGGUGAAAUGCGUAGAUAUCGAGAGGAACACCUGCGGCGAAGGCGGGUUGCUGGGCUGACACUGACGCUGAGGCGCGAAAGCCAGGGGAGCGAACGGG